GCCUCUCUGGUGGCCUAGUGGUAAGAGCAUCUGCCUUGGAUGUAGUAGGUUGCAGGUUUGAACCUUGGCCAAGUCA